AAGUCGUAACAAGGUUUCCGUAGGUGAACCUGCGGAAGGAUCAUUAUUGAAUGAACUUGGCGUGAUUGUAGCUGGCCCUCUUGGGGGCAUGUGCACAUCCGUCGUCUUUAUCUCUCCACCUGUGCACACUUUGUAGGUCUGGAAUAACUUUCCGAGGAAACUCGGUCGUAGGGACUGCUGUUAAGGCUUUCCUUGCAUUUUCCAGGUCUAUGUUUUCAUAUACACCAUAAGAAUGUAAUAGAAUGUUUUUAUUGGGCCUUGUUGCCUAUAAACUAUAUACAACUUUCAGCAACGGAUCUCUUGGCUCUC
rnacentral:misc_RNA from 1 species